rnacentral:rRNA from 1 species
CCUACGGGAGGCAGCAGUGGGGAAUAUUGGACAAUGGGCGAAAGCCUGAUCCAGCAAUGCCGCGUGAGUGAAGAAGGCCUUCGGGUUGUAAAGCUCUUUUACCCGGGAAGAUAAUGACUGUACCGGGAGAAUAAGCUCCGGCUAACUCCGUGCCAGCAGCCGCGGUAAUACGGAGGGAGCUAGCGUUGUUCGGAAUUACUGGGCGUAAAGCGUACGUAGGCGGCUUGGUAAGUCAGAGGUGAAAGCCCACGACUCAAUCGUGGAACUGCCUUUGAGACUGCUUCGCUUGAAGAUGGGAGAGGUUAGUGGAAUUCCGAGUGUAGAGGUGAAAUUCGUAGAUAUUCGGAAGAACACCAGUGGCGAAGGCGGCUAACUGGACCAUUCUUGACGCUGAGGUACGAAAGCGUGGGGAGCAAACAGGAUUAGAUACCCUGGUAGUCCACGCCGUAAACGAUGAUAACUAGCUGUCGGGGCUCUUGGAGCUUCGGUGGCGCAGCUACGCAUUAAGUUAAUUCCGUCCGUCGGGUAGGUACGGGUCCGGCCGAACGGUUAAAACCGUUAACGAAACGGAAAGUUAGUACGGCGUGAGACGUGCCCGACGGACGACCGACCGAGGGAGGUAGG